CACGUAGGGCGCAAGCGUUGUCCGGAAUUAUUGGGCGUAAAGAGCUCGUAGGCGGUCUGUUACGUCUGCUGUGAAAACCCAGGGCUUAACCCUGGGCUUGCAGUGGAUACGGGCAGACUAGAGGCAGGUAGGGGAGAAUGGAAUUCCCGGUGUAGCGGUGAAAUGCGCAGAUAUCGGGGAGGAACACCGGUGGCGAAGGCGGGUCUCUGGGCCGAUACUGACGCUGAGGAGCGAAAGCGUGGGGAGCGAACAGG
rnacentral:rRNA from 1 species